GACGAACGCUGGCGGCGUGCCUAAUACAUGCAAGUUGAGCGCUGAAGGUUGGUACUUGUACCAACUGGAUGAGCAGCGAACGGGUGAGUAACGCGUGGGGAAUCUGCCUUUGAGCGGGGGACAACAUUUGGAAACGAAUGCUAAUACCGCAUAAAAACUUUAAACACAAGUUUUAAGUUUGAAAGAUGCAAUUGCAUCACUCAAAGAUGAUCCCGCGUUGUAUUAGCUAGUUGGUGAGGUGAAGGCUCACCAAGGCGAUGAUACAUAGCCGACCUGAGAGGGUGAUCGGCCACAUUGGGACUGAGACACGGCCCAAACUCCUACGGGAGGCAGCAGUAGGGAAUCUUCGGCAAUGGACGAAAGUCUGACCGAGCAACGCCGCGUGAGUGAAGAAGGGUUUCGGAUCGUAAAACUCGGUUGGUAGAGAAGAACGUUGGUGAGAGUGGAAAGCUCAUCAAGUGACGGUAACUACCCAGAAAGGGACGGCUAACUACGUG
rnacentral:rRNA from 1 species